ensembl:lncRNA
UUGUUUAUCGGUUUGUCCGUUUUGAUUGAGAUGGUUUUACACCGCGGACAAGUCCACAACCCGUUUGCUUCACCACUACGACGUUGAAAUCGUGUAAAUAGUUUUGGGAUUAAACACGUCAUCUCCCGGUCAACCGAGGCGCUGAACCCGAGCUGUUUAGUCAUACAGGGUGUGUCUCUGUUCACUCGCAGCGGACUCGUUUUUCCACUCUUUCUACCGGUUCCUCUCUCUUUCUCGCCCUCUCUUUACUGCGAGCUCCGGUGCAGAUCUCCUCCGACAGAACGAUCUUUCUUCGAAUCAAACCAACUGUCAGCUAUCUAUCAGAAUGGCAGAUAGCAUUCUCUUGGUAUCCUCCAAACCCAGAUUCGUCCGUCGAACUGCCAGAUGGUGAAGUGGGAUUCAU